rnacentral:RNase_P_RNA from 1 species
GAAAUUAGCUUUGCAAUCGCGAUUAGUUUUCUAAUCGAGGAAAGUCCGGACACCUCAUGGAUAAAAGUGCUGGGUAACGCCCAGGGACUAUUAAUUAGUUACGGAAAGUGGCACAGAAAAUAUACCGCCAUUUUUAAUGGUAAGGGUGAAAAGGUGCGGUAAGAGCGCACCGCAUUUAUAGUGAUAUAAAUGGCACGCAAAACCCCACUUGGUGCAAGACCAAAUAGGCCUCACUCGAUUGUAUCCUGGUCACUUAGUUAGGCGGGUAGGUUGCUUGAAUCUAUGGGUAACUAUAGAUCUAGAUGAAUGAUUGCUAGAGUUUUACUCGAUACAGAAUCCGGCUUAUACGGCUAAUUUCCUUU